AUUGAACGCUGGCGGCAGGCCUAACACAUGCAAGUCGAGCGGCUGAAGCCCGCUUGCUUCUGGAUCAAGCGGCUGCGGGGUGACCACUGCCUAUGAACCUGCCCUCUGGUGGGGGAUACAGUCCGGAAACGGGCGCUACUACCGCUUACGUCCUGAGGGUGUAAGUGGGGGAUUUUCGGGUUUCCCGCUAUCAGAUGCGCCUAGGUCGUAUUAGCUAGUUGGUGGGUGAAAGGCAGGCCAAGGCGAGGAUCCGUAACUGGUCUGAGAGGAUGAGCAGUCACACUGGAACUGAGACACGGUCCAGACGCCUACGGGAGGCAGCAGUGGGGAAGAUUGGGCGAUGGACUAAAGCCUGCUCCAGCCAUGCCGCGUGAGUGAAGAAAGUCGUCGGAGUUUGAAGCACUUUAAGUUGGGAGAAAGGGCAGUAAGUUAAUACCUUGCGGUUUUGACGUUACCAGCAGAAUAAGCACCGGCUAACUUCGUG
rnacentral:rRNA from 1 species